rnacentral:rRNA from 1 species
CUGAAAGCACCCGGGUCGCAAUUCCUUCGGGAGGCAGACAGAAGGGAUCAUCGCAAUUGAAAGCAAAAGACUGAACGGAGGCGAAGCACUCUCGGAGGGAUGAAAGGUUUUUGGAUUCGUAAAAUUAUUUUUUUAUGGAAGAACAAAAUAGGUAAGUAGCUGUGCGCUUCUUGACGUACCUUAUUCAGAAAGACACCGCCUAACUACUUGCCAGCAGCCGCGGUAAUAAGUAGGUGGGCAAGCAUUAUCCCGGAAUUAUUUGGCGGUAAAGGCGAGCGUAGGCGGUUUUCUUUAGUUUGAUGUGAAAAGCGCCCGGCUCAUCCGCGGAGGGUCAUUGGAAACUGGAAACUUGAGUGCAGAAGAGGAAAGUGGAAUUCCAUGUGUGGCGGUGAAAUGCGCAGAGAUAUGGAGGAACACCAGUGGCGAAGACGACUUUCUGUUCUGUAACUGACGCUGAUGUGCGAAAGAGUGGGGAUCAAACAGGAUUAGAUACCCUGGUAGUCCACGCCGUAAACGAUGAGUGCUAAGUGUUAGGGGGUUUCCGCCCCUUAGUGCUGCAGCUAACGCAUUAAGCACUCCGCCUGGGGAGUACGACCGCAAGGUUGAAACUCAAAGGAAUUGACGGGGACCCGCACAAGCGGUGGAGCAUGUGGUUUAAUUUGAAGCAACGCGAAGAACCUUACCAAAUCUUGACAUCCUUUGAAAACUCUAGAGAUAGAGCCUUCCCCUUCGGGGGACAAAGUGACAGGUGGUGCAUGGUUGUCGUCAGCUCGUGUCGUGAGAUGUUGGGUUAAGUCCCGCAACGAGCGCAACCCUUAAGCUUAGUUGCCAUCAUUAAGUUGGGCACUUUAGGUUGACUGCCGGUGACAAACCGGAGGAAGGUGGGGAUGACGUCAAAUCAUCAUGCCCCUUAUGAUUUGGGCUACACACGUGCUACAAUGGACAAUACAAAGGGCAGCUAAACCGCGAGGUCAUGCAAAUCCCAUAAAGUUGUUUUCAGUUUGGAUUGUAGUUUGCAACUUGACUACAUGAAGCUGGAAUCGCUAGUAAUCGUAGAUCAGCAUGCUACGGUGAAUACGUUCCCGGGUCUUGUACACACUGCCCGUCACACCCCGAGAGUUUGUAACACCCGAAGCCGGUGGAGUAACCAUUUAUGGAGCUAGCCGUCGAAAUG